rnacentral:rRNA from 1 species
UACGUAGGGUGCAAGCGUUUAAUCGGAAUUACUGGGCGUAAAGCGUGCGCAGGCGGUUUUGUAAGUCUGUCGUGAAAUCCCCGGGCUCAACCUGGGAAUUGCGAUGGAGACUGCAAGGCUAGAAUCUGGCAGAGGGGGGGUAGAAUUCCACGUGUAGCAGUGAAAAUGCGUAGAGAUGUGGAGGAACACCGAUGGCGAAGGCAGCCCCCUGGGUCAAGAUUGACGCUCAUGCACGAAAGCGUGGGGAGCAAACAGG